GGCAACGUGGCUGAGUGGUCAAAGCGUACGACUAGAAAUUACUACAUCUAUAGAAUAUAUCUAUAAUCUUGCAAUCGUAUCCCUUCGGGGUCACAGGUUCGAGUCCUGUCGUUGUCG
rnacentral:tRNA from 1 species